GAAGGGAGCUUGCUCCCGGAUGUUAGCGGCGGACGGGUGAGUAACACGUGGGUAACCUGCCUGUAAGACUGGGAUAACUCCGGGAAACCGGAGCUAAUACCGGAUAGUUCCUUGAACCGCAUGGUUCAAGGAUGAAAGACGGUUUCGGCUGUCACUUACAGAUGGACCCGCGGCGCAUUAGCUAGUUGGUGGGGUAAUGGCUCACCAAGGCGACGAUGCGUAGCCGACCUGAGAGGGUGAUCGGCCACACUGGGACUGAGACACGGCCCAGACUCCUACGGGAGGCAGCAGUAGGGAAUCUUCCGCAAUGGACGAAAGUCUGACGGAGCAACGCCGCGUGAGUGAUGAAGGUUUUCGGAUCGUAAAGCUCUGUUGUUAGGGAAGAACAAGUGCGAGAGUAACUGCUCGCACCUUGACGGUACCUAACCAGAAAGCCACGGCUAACUACGUGCCAGCAGCCGCGGUAAUACGUAGGUGGCAAGCGUUGUCCGGAAUUAUUGGGCGUAAAGGGCUCGCAGGCGGUUUCUUAAGUCUGAUGUGAAAGCCCCCGGCUCAACCGGGGAGGGUCAUUGGAAACUGGGAAACUUGAGUGCAGAAGAGGAGAGUGGAAUUCCACGUGUAGCGGUGAAAUGCGUAGAGAUGUGGAGGAACACCAGUGGCGAAGGCGACUCUCUGGUCUGUAACUGACGCUGAGGAGCGAAAGCGUGGGGAGCGAACAGGAUUAGAUACCCUGGUAGUCCACGCCGUAAACGAUGAGUGCUAAGUGUUAGGGGGUUUCCGCCCCUUAGUGCUGCAGCUAACGCAUUAAGCACUCCGCCUGGGGAGUACGGUCGCAAGACUGAAACUCAAAGGAAUUGACGGGGGCCCGCACAAGCGGUGGAGCAUGUGGUUUAAUUCGAAGCAACGCGAAGAACCUUACCAGGUCUUGACAUCCUCUGACAACCCUAGAGAUAGGGCUUUCCCUUCGGGGACAGAGUGACAGGUGGUGCAUGGUUGUCGUC
rnacentral:rRNA from 1 species